GAUGAAGAACGCAGCGAAAUGCGAUAAGUAAUGCGAAUUGCAGAAUUCCAGUGAGUCAUCGAAUCUUUGAACGCACAUUGCGCCCCUUGGUAUUCCGAGGGGCAUGCCUGUUCGAGCGUCAUUAUAACCCUCAAGCUCAGCUUGGUGUUGGGGCCUGCUGCACUGGCAGCCCUUAAAAUCAGUGGCGGCGCCAUCUGGCUCUAAGCGUAGUAAUUCUUCUCGCUAUGGAGUCCUGGUGGAUGCUUGCCAUCAACCCCCAAUUUUUCUAUGGUUGACCUCGGAUCAGGUAGGGAUACCCGCUGAACUUAAGCAUAUCAAUAAGCGGAGGA
rnacentral:misc_RNA from 1 species